GAUGAACGCUAGCGGCAGGCUUAAUACAUGCAAGUCGAGGGGCAGCAUGAUUGUAGCAAUACAAUUGAUGGCGACCGGCAAACGGGUGCGGAACACGUACACAACCUCCCAAUAAGUGGGGAAUAGCCCAGAGAAAUUUGGAUUAAUACCCCGUAACAUAACGAUGUGGCAUCACAUUGUUAUUAUAGAUUUUUCGCUUAUUGAUGGGUGUGCGGCUGAUUAGAUAGUUGGCGGGGUAACGGCCCACCAAGUCUACGAUCAGUAGCUGAUGUGAGAGCAUGAUCAGCCACACGGGCACUGAGACACGGGCCCGACUCCUACGGGAGGCAGCAGUAAGGAAUAUUGGACAAUGGACGCAAGUCUGAUCCAGCCAUGCCGCGUGAAGGAUUAAGGUCCUCUGGAUUGUAAACUUCUUUUAUAAGGGACGAAAAAAGGCUUUUCUAAGUCGUCUGACGGUACCUUAUGAAUAAGCACCGGCUAACUACGCGCCAGCAGCCGCGGUAACAC
rnacentral:rRNA from 1 species